rnacentral:rRNA from 1 species
AUUGAACGCUGGCGGCAUGCCUUACACAUGCAAGUCGAACGGCAGCACGGGAGCAAUCCUGGUGGCGAGUGGCGAACGGGUGAGUAAUAUAUCGGAACGUGCCCGGUCGUGGGGAUAACGUAGCGAAAGCUACGCUAAUACCGCAUACGAUCUACGGAUGAAAGCGGGGGGAUCGCAAGACCUCGCGCGAUUGGAGCGGCCGAUAUCAGAUUAGGUAGUUGGUGAGGUAAAGGCUCACCAAGCCGACGAUCUGUAGCUGGUCUGAGAGGACGACCAGCCACACUGGGACUGAGACACGGCCCAGACUCCUACGGGAGGCAGCAGUGGGGAAUUUUGGACAAUGGGCGCAAGCCUGAUCCAGCAAUGCCGCGUGCAGGAUGAAGGCCUCGGUUGUAAACUGCUUUGUACGG